CUCUCUCUCUCUCUCACACACACAUACAUACACAGCUCUGCUGCUUUGCUUGGACACCCAGGGGUGGGGUUACAGACAAACUCUUCCAAGCAGAAGCUGAUAUUCACUUAAACAGCGACCUCAACACAGCUCUGACUUCUCAGGUAUGUCGCAUUAAGCUUCAGGAACUGGAAAGGCUCGCAUUCUGCUCACCCUACAGUGAGACCAUCUGCUCAGGGAGUUGGAAAACACCUUCACCACCAUUACUCUUUACUCUAAUACACGUCUGCACAGAUAUCAAAUCACCCGGGACCCUCUUAAAGAUCAUCAACCAAUCCGUCACCUCUUAUGGCUUACUAAGUGGGGAAACUUUACCCUGAUUAGAAAUUGCAUUGCCUUCCUUGACGUGAUUUAAAAAUCAUGAAUUUGACGUUGGACAACCCUUACGGCGACAUCAGCAUCCCCAGAGCCAAGCUGCGCUCGUAUGAUGACUCCAACACCAUCAUUAUCAACCCGAUGACUUUGGAGAGUUCGUACAAUGGGAACAUGUCCCAAAACCCGUAUGGCAGUUUCAAAGCCCAAGGAGGGGACGCUCCGUCUGGCGUUCCUGUCUACGGACAGGUUAAAGACAGCAACCUGAAAGGGUACACCAUCAAAGAGGACGAGGAGCAGGUGAGCCGGUGCUACGCUUGCUGUUGCCGCUGUCGUAGGAAGAAGUGAGAACUUUUGGAGGACUUUGAUUUGUAUUUGAAAGAGGAAUUGCCUUCUAUAAGCUGCUAGUUGAAUUACUGACAAACAAAACGUACGUCUUCCCAAGUGACCGCUGGAUAUUUGAUAAAAACUGGGAUAUUAAAACAAUGGUUUUGAGUUGCAAAUGGAGCAGUGUUAACAUUAUAUGAUGUAUAUUUGAGCGAAAAGUUGUCUUGAACUUCUCGAUGGGCCUGAUGCUUUUUCUCUGUCCUAAAUGAGUAUGAUGGCAUAUCGACAAUCAUUUAUUUUUGAGUCAGCCAGUUUCAGCAAGCUUGACUACAUGCGUUGUUGGAAUUCAAAUCCUUUCUUACUCUAUUCAGGUUUGUGCUCGGAGAUCCCUCAGGGCUCAAUUCUGAGACCAUUCUUCUUCAUCUUUGGGUCUAUGCUUCUUUGUGUAUUAGUAGAGGAAUGAGACCAGGUUUCAGGUCAACCACGCCCUACAGGAUAGCACCAUUUUUCACCCAGUUUCACCUGCAUGCUAGGGUGCAUACGAAUGCAGAUUUGGUUAGGGAUAAAGAUCAGAAUACACACUGUUCUUUAAACAUCACAACCUCAAUUGGUGAACAAUGCAGAGAAUGUCUACUUUAAACUGGAAACUUGGAAUUAACUUGGAUACAAACGAUGAAAAUGUUCCGAAUGUUGAAUAUUUAGGAUUGGGGAUUCUGAACAUUUCCAAGUCACUUUUUUAACGUAAGCAAAUUUCUGACACCAUGUAUGAUCAAUCCUUUUGUACAAAAAGUUUUCUUCAAGUCAAAUCUCUUCCAAUGAAGAACAAGUUCAGGUGACAUCGUAAUGGACUCAAUCAAAUUCAUGUACAUAUUUCCGAUGUAAAGAUUCUACUUUUUGCUCUGUUGUGGAUAUUAUGGAACUGUACUUAAUUAGAAAAGAAUGCAAAGAAAACAUUUGCACUAGUGCUCCUGAGAACUCACUGAAAUGGUUAUGAAGGUGUCAUGACAAAGAAGAAAGAGGGCAAAUACUCUGCCUCAUGACUUAAACAGGAAAUAAGAGAUGACAGGUGCAGGAACAUCCUAGGAAACCUUGGACUAUGUUUAUGUGAAAGCAAAAUAUAUAUAUAUAUUUAAUUUCUUGUAAAUUAACGCCACUACCAUCAUCUGUAUUUCCAUUCCGGCCAUGUUUACGAUGUACACAGGGAGUUGCUCUGGAAGUAGGGGUGGUUUUUAAUGUCAACACCUAGUUACAACUGCUUGUGAAUCAUUCAUAUAUAUAUAUAUAUAUAUAUAUAUAUAUAUAUAUAUAUAUAUAUAUAUAUAUAUAUACGCAUAUCUGCUUUCGACCUGCAGGGAAAAAGAAAGCAAUAAAAGAAGAGCUAUGGACUUGAAAAAAUUAUCAAAUGAAGAAUGUGUGUAGUAAAUGCGUUUAUAAUUUUGGUGGAAUGGGCAAGUGUCCUUAUAUUUAAUUAUUAGCCUCUUACAUUAGUAGGCUAGUUAUGUUUAAAGCUUUGUUCUCCAACAUUUUCUUGCUGUUCGGGUUAUUUAGAUAUACAUAAUUAAAUAUCUUUAAUAUCUUAAAUCUGAAAUGAAUUUUUUUUUAUAUGAACUAUGGAUGUAUUAAAAGGUAGAAACUGCUGAACCAG